AACCUUAGAAAAUUUAGAAAAAAGUACAUGUGAUAGUUUAUAUAAUUUUAAAAACUCACUACGAGAAGAACAACACAAGAUAAUAAAUAACAUUGAAAAUUUAGAAUUAGAUAUACAUUACAGUACAGUUAGGAUAAAUUAUUAUACAGAAAUUUGUAACUCUGCAAUUACUACAGGAUAAAAUAAUAAACCAAACAAAUUAAUGAAUAUAUCUUACGAAAAGAAUAAAUCAUUAAAAGAUAUUGAAACAAAAUUUAAGAAAUAUCCAC
rnacentral:lncRNA from 1 species